AAUACCGAAACUCUUUUUAUUAAUGUCGUCUGAGUACUAUAUAAUACUUAAAACUUUCAACAACGGAUCUCUUGGUUCUGGCAUCGAUGAAGAACGCAGCGAAAUGCGAUAAGUAAUGUGAAUUGCAGAAUUCAGUGAAUCAUCGAAUCUUUGAACGCACAUUGCGCCCCUUGGUAUUCCGGGGGGCAUGCCUGUUCGAGCGUCAUUUCAACCCUCAAGCUUAGCUUGGUAUUGAGUCUAUGUCAGUAAUGGCAGGCUCUAAAAUCAGUGGCGGCGCCGCUGGGUCCUGAACGUAGUAAUAUCUCUCGUUACAGGUUCUCGGUGUGCUUCUGCCAAAACCCAAAUUUUUCUAUGGUUGACCUCGGAUCAGGUAGGGAUACCCGCUGAACUUAAGCAUAUCAAUAAGCGGA
rnacentral:rRNA from 1 species